rnacentral:lncRNA from 1 species
GCUUCUAGGAAAGGGGUGAACCGGAACAACCGGAGGUUUAACAGGAGGGUGAACCGGAACAACCGGAGGUUUAACAGGAGGGUGAGCCGGAACAGGAGGUUUAACUGGAGGGUGAACCGGAACAGGAGGUUUAACUGGAGGGUGAACCGGAACAGGAGGUUUAACUGGAGGAUGAACCGGAACAGGAGGUGGAUUAACAGGAGCAGGAGGGUGAUGGUGAUGGUGGUGAGUAGGAGGCUUAGCAGGGGCAGGGGUAGGAGGGUAAUUGUGGUGAGAAGGUGAAGGAACAGGUGCUGGUGCUGGUGCUGGUGCUGGAGGGUGGUGGUGGUGGUGGUGGUGGUGUGGGUGAGGAGCAUUUGCUGGUGGGUGAAGAGGUGCUGGUGUGGGGGAGUGAACAGGGUGAGGGUGAGGGUAAGAGGGUGGAAGAGUUUCAAGUUCAAGCUCUACAGCAAACACAUUACUCACAGCUACGAG